rnacentral:pre_miRNA from 1 species
UCCCUCAGAGAGUUUCAAUCAUUUAUCUUUGGACAUGAUUGCAGCAUCUGAGGGAGA